rnacentral:rRNA from 1 species
GACGAACGCUGGCGGCGUGCCUAACACAUGCAAGUUGAGCGACGAACCAGGGCUUGCCCUGGGGCAAAGCAGCGAACGGGUGAGUAACACGUGGGUAACCUGCCCCGAUGACCGGGACAACCCGAGGAAACUCGGGCUAAUACCGGAUGUGCUCGCCGGACACAAGUCCGGCGCGUAAAGGAAGCUUCGGCCUCCGCAUCGGGAGGGGCCCGCGGCCCAUUAGCUAGUUGGUGAGGUAACGGCUCACCAAGGCCGCGAUGGGUAGCUGGUCUGAGAGGACGAUCAGCCACACUGGGACUGAGACACGGCCCAGACUCCUACGGGAGGCAGCAGUGGGGAAUCUUGCGCAAUGCGCGAAAGCGUGACGCAGCAACGCCGCGUGGGGGAAGAAGGCCUUCGGGUUGUAAACCCCUUUCAGUUGGGACGAAGCUUCAGCGGUGAAUAGCCGGCUGGAGUGACGGUACCUUCACAAGAAGCCCCGGCUAACUACGUGCCAGCAGCCGCCGUAAAAC